rnacentral:rRNA from 1 species
GAUUUCUGACAUUAAUGCGCUUGGCCCGCUACGGUUACGUAUGUGAGUGCCGAGUCGUGUUUGUCAUCCUUCUAGAAAAUGUUUAUUUGCUCUUCAUUGAGUUUAAUUCUCACGAUCUAGAUCUUUUACUUUGAAAAAAUUAGAGUGUUUAAAGCAGGCGUUUGCUAUGAAUACAUUAGCAUGGAAUAAUAAUUUAGGACUUUGGUUCUAUUUUGUUGGUUUCUAGAACUGAAGUAAUGAUUGAUAGGGAUGGUUGGGGGUGCUCGUAUUCAGUGGCCAGAGGUGAAAUUCUCGGAUUCACUGAAGACGAACUUAUGCGAAAGCAUU